rnacentral:rRNA from 1 species
AUAGGCGAAAGCUUGACAGGGUUACUCUGAGUGAUUUCCGCUAAGGAGAUCUUUUGGCACCUCUAAAAAUGGUGCAGAAUAAGGGGUGGGCAAGUCUGGUGUCAGCCGCCGCGGUAAUACCAGCACCCCGAGUGGUCGGGACGAUUAUUGGGCCUAAAGCAUCCGUAGCCGGCCCUGCAAGUCUUCCGUUAAAUCCAUCCGCUCAACGGAUGGGCCGCGGGAGAUACUACAGGGCUAGGAGGCGGGAGAGGCAAGCGGUACUCAGUGGGUAGGGGUAAAAUCCUCUGAUCCACUGAAGACCACCAGUGGCGAAGGCGGCUUGCCAGAACGCGCUCGACGGUGAGGGAUGAAAGCUGGGGGAGCAAACCGGAUUAGAUACCCCCGUAGUCC